rnacentral:rRNA from 1 species
GAUGAACGCUGGCGGCGUGCCUAAUACAUGCAAGUCGAGCGAAUGGAUUAAGAGCUUGCUCUUAUGAAGUUAGCGGCGGACGGGUGAGUAACACGUGGGUAACCUGCCCAUAAGACUGGGAUAACUCCGGGAAACCGGGGCUAAUACCGGAUAACAUUUUGAACCGCAUGGUUCGAAAUUGAAAGGCGGCUUCGGCUGUCACUUAUGGAUGGACCCGCGUCGCAUUAGCUAGUUGGUGAGGUAACGGCUCACCAAGGCAACGAUGCGUAGCCGACCUGAGAGGGUGAUCGGCCACACUGGGACUGGGACACGGCCCAGACUCCUACGGGAGGCAGGAGUAGGGAAUCUUCCGCAACGGACGAAAGUCUGACGGAGCAACGCCGCGUGAGUGAUGAAGGCUUUCGGGUCGUAAAACUCUGUUGUUAGGGAAGAACAAGUGCUAGUUGAAUAAGCUGGCACCUUGACGGUACCUAACCAGAAAGCCACGGCUAACUACGUGCCAGCCGCCGCCGUAA